CUAAUACCAAGGCGGCUCUUUAGUGCGCCACAAAGUUAUCUGAUAUUCCAAAUGGAAUUACUAAAAUAUCUCGUGAAGAAGAAAAGAUGAAAACAUAUUUAAGGCCAAUCAGGCAGCCAAAGAAAUUAUGAGAAUUUUAUGCUGAUUUUUGGGGUGACAUGUACAUAGGCUCAUCCUCAUGGAGUUGAGCAGAGUCUGAACGGACCGCUUCGUGAAUAGAGUGAAAAAGAGGCUGUAAUAAAGAAAAUAUGAUUUGAUAAAUGUUAUGACCAAUUAAUAAUUGUUAACUAAGGCAGGCGAUAAAAAUCUCGAGGGAUACUAAUAGAAAAUAUUUUAUUGAAACCAACAAAAAAAAAAA